GCCAAAGUGAUGGAAAUUGGUAGACAUGCUAGGUUUAGGUUCUAGUUCUUUUAAAAAAGAAUAAGGGUUCAAGUCCCUUCUUUGGUA
rnacentral:tRNA from 1 species